rnacentral:snoRNA from 1 species
ACGCUCCAGACUCUGUACGCACCAGAUCUAAACACUGGUCUGAGUGGUUAUACAAGGAGGAAAAGAAAAAUGGGAACAGACUUGUAUUCAAGUAAUAUUCAACUUAUUUUUAAAAAAUU